rnacentral:rRNA from 1 species
UACAGAGGUCCCAAGCGUUGUUCGGAUUUACUGGGCGUAAAGGGUGCGUAGGUGGCUGGGAAAGUUUGAUGUGAAAGCUCAGGGCUUAACCCUGAAAUGGCAUUGAAUACUGCCUGGCUGGAGGUUUGGAGGGGGGACUGGAAUUCUUGGUGUAGCAGUGAAAUGCGUAGAUAUCAAGAGGAACACCAGUGGCGAAGGCGAGUCCCUGGACAACACCUGACACUGAGGCACGAAAGCCGGGGGAGCAAACAGG